CAAAGUGGAGCGCUGGAAGCCUUCCAUCCUUUCAUUUUGAAAAUUGUUCGUUAACCGACUCAAUAAUAGACCCGCAGAAUUUUGAUACACUGCCAGGAUCUACAAACAUUAUUGCAAAAGGACAGCGAUGGAAAAGCUAUUUUAAUGGUGUACCGUAAAACAGGAUAUUUAACAUCACGCCUUCGAAAUCUCUUGGUUCAAAAAAUAAUUAAAUGCAAACAAGACGAAGCCUUUGAAGAUAUUUCGAUUGGUGAAGUACUUCCUGAGUUCAGAAUUACAACAGAUGAAUUUAAAAGCUGGGCAAAAGAAAUCCACGAAGUUUUUCCUACUGAAUCCAUAGCAACGUAUUACAUCCCUUAUGCAAAAGUACAAGGACAGCGUAUCUGUGC